ACGAAGAAGAUGAAAACAACAAGGGAUUUUAAUUUCAAAUUUUGUAACUUUAUGAUUUUUAAUUUCGUCCUUCUGUAACUUUUCGUUUUUGGUUUUGGUCCCUGUAAUAUAGUCAGGGAUCUUCUGGAAGGCCACCUAAAUUUCAUAUUUAGGUGUUUUUAAUUUCGUCCCUCUGUACCUUUUCGUUUUUGGUUUUGGUCCCUGUAAUAUAGUCAGGGAUCAUCUGUCAGUCCACAUAAGCGUGUUUGGCCAAGUCAGCACCUGCCACGUCACUCACCGUUAGCCAGCAAGGCGUUUUUGUUACAGAGUUUGACGGGAGGGACGAAAAGCAAAAAGUUAUUAACUUAC
rnacentral:lncRNA from 1 species